ACUAUCUCAUUCCGACACCAUCAACCGCCACACACUGCAUCGCAUGGGUUUCUCUAAGAUUGAUGGCGGUUGGACAAAGGGUGUUGAGGAGAGAGCAGAUGAUAGAGCAGAGGAGGAGGGGCCAUCUUCACCUCUUCAUGAUCACAGAGCAUCCCCAGAUAUUCAGUUCAUAUCUAAUCAUGAGGCUGGUUCUUCAGAGUCUGUGAGGAGGCAUGCUUCAGUUC
rnacentral:lncRNA from 1 species